rnacentral:rRNA from 1 species
GAGAAUCCCACAGGCCGUAAACCCAAGGUUUCCAGGGGAAGGUUCGUCCGCCCUGGGUUAGUCGGGACCUAAGCUGAGGCCGAAAGGCGUAGGGGAUGGACAACAGGUUGAUAUUCCUGUACUACCGAUAACCGUUUGAGAGAAGGGAUGACACAGUAGGAUAAGCUAAGCACACUGGUGGUUAUGUGUGCCCAAGCAUUGAGGCAGUCAAAGUAGGCAAAUCCGCUUUGAUAAU